rnacentral:rRNA from 1 species
GAUGAACGCUGGCGGCGUGCCUAAUACAUGCAAGUCGAGCGAACGGACGAGAAGCUUGCUUCUCUGAUGUUAGCGGCGGACGGGUGAGUAACACGUGGAUAACCUACCUAUAAGACUGGGAUAACUUCGGGAAACCGUAGCUAAUACCGGAUAAUAUUUUGAACCGCAUGGUUCAAAAGUGAAAGACGGUCUUGCUGUCACUUAUAGAUGGAUCCGCGCUGCAUUAGCUAGUUGGUAAGGUAACGGCUUACCAAGGCAACGAUGCAUAGCCGACCUGAGAGGGUGAUCGGCCACACUGGAACUGAGACACGGUCCAGACUCCUACGGGAGGCAGCAGUAGGGAAUCUUCCGCAGAGGGCGAAAGCCUGACGGAGCAACGCCGCGUGAGUGAUGAAGGUCUUCGGAUCGUAAAACUCUGUUAUUAGGGAAGAACAUAUGUGUAAGUAACUGUGCACAUCUUGACGGUACCUAAUCAGAAAGCCACGGCUAACUACGUG